rnacentral:rRNA from 1 species
GACGAACGCUGGCGGCGUGCUUAACACAUGCAAGUCGAACGGAAAGGCCCUGCUUGCAGGGUCCUCGAGUGGCGAACGGGUGAGUAACACGUGGGUGAUCUGCCCUGCACUUCGGGAUAAGCCUGGGAAACUGGGUCUAAUACCUGAUAGGAGCCAUUUUUAGUGUGAUGGUUGGAAAGUUUUUUCGGUGUAGGAUGAGCUCGCGGCCUAUCAGCUUGUUGGUGGGGUAAUGGCCUACCAAGGCGGCGACGGGUAGCCGGCCUGAGAGGGUGGACGGCCACAUUGGGACUGAGAUACGGCCCAGACUCCUACGGGAGGCAGCAGUGGGGAAUAUUGCACAAUGGGCGCAAGCCUGAUGCAGCGACGCCGCGUGGGGGAUGACGGCCUUCGGGUUGUAAACUCCUUUCGCUAGGGACGAAGCUUUUUGUGACGGUACCUAGAGAAGAAGCACCGGCUAACUACGUG